rnacentral:rRNA from 1 species
UACGGGGGGGGCAAGCGUUGUCCGGAAUUAUUGGGCGUAAAGAGCUCGUAGGCGGUCUGUCGCGUCUGCUGUGAAAACUCGGGGCUUAACCCCGGGCCUGCAGUGGGUACGGGCAGACUAGAGUGCGGUAGGGGAGACUGGAAUUCCUGGUGUAGCGGUGAAAUGCGCAGAUAUCAGGAGGAACACCGGUGGCGAAGGCGGGUCUCUGGGCCGUAACUGACGCUGGAGGAGCGAAAGCUGGGGGAGCGAACAGG